GGUCUCGGGGCGCGCACACGUGCUGGGAGCAGGCGCGCACACGUCGCAGUGAUUGGGGCGGGUUGCUGGCCACCAGGCGGAGGCUGGGGACAAGCAGAGCCGCCGGCCCCACGUCCCGCCGUGCCCUCUCUGCGUGGUGUGGGAUGAGGAACCUGACCUCCGGGAGCCUCAGUUUCCCCCGUGGUGAAAUGGAGACAAUAACCGCGUCGGCCUCUUAAGGCUGUUUGAGCCCUGGAUGUGACAAUCCCGGACAGGGGCAAAGUCAAGACCCAGAUGGGUGAAGGGACUUGCUCAGGGGCCCCAUCCCCUGGCAGCACCCUACCUUGGUCCCCUCGUACAGGAAGGCAUCCCAGACCCGAAGGAGGAUGUUGCUAAUGAGACUGUCUGCAAAGACCACGAGGAACCAGUUGAAGGUGAUGAGGGAGAGAUCCACGUGGUGCUGCCCCAGGUGGGCCAUCAGCCUGGGCAGCUUCUCCGAGAGCAGGUCCUGGAGCACCCGCUGGUCCACCUGGAAGCCAGAGAGAAAGCCUGUCAUCUGCAGCCCCAGGAUAAGGCUGCCUCCCUCCCUGCCCAGCCUUCCUACCCAGUCAGUCCACACACAGUCCUGAAGCUGCUCUGGGCAAGUUCUUUCCUGCUCCUCAGGAAGCCAGAGCCCAAUCUAGCUGGGAGUCAGGUACAGCAUCAUAUCACUCCGCUGCUCCUGACAUAGGCCAGAGUCCUCUGGACCAGGGCACUGGGCUCUGCAGUGGAGCCGUGUGGGCUGGCACGUUCUCAGCCCCCUCACCCAUCUGAAUCCCUUGAGCCAAGCAGGAGCUCAGGGGCCAGCUGAUCCUCCUGGCAGUUCAGAGACACUGGUCUCAUGCCCACAGGCCUUGGCAAAAUGGAAACUUUGUCUCUAGGCUUGUAUCAGCUGACAUCCACAGCCCCUUCUCUAUACCCAAUUUGUGCCUGACACCUAAGAUGCUAGGCAGAUGUCUGGUCCAGGACAGGUGUGUGUGUGGGAGGGCAUAAUGUCCUGCCUCGCCAGACACCAAAGAGUCUUCUCAAAGCAGGGUGCUCCUGGCCACAGUGGCCAGUGACCUCUCCUUGUGGCCACUGUCAUGCCUCUGUCCUUGUUUCACUGGAUGGGUUAACCACUUUCAGCACUGGCUCCUUCCCUGGCUCCAAGACAUGGUUCAUUUCAUGGUUUUCCUCCUCCCUGUGUGAUGACCCCAUUUUAUUCCCCUUGCUCUUGCUUCCUGGAACUGCUGGUUGCUCAGUGCUCUCCCCUCGCUUAUGUCCUCUUCCAGGCAUUAGCGUCAGCUGUGGCAAAUAGCCAGUAGCUCCCAUCCUCCCUCACCCAGAACCUUGCGUGUCUACGGAGGCCAAGUGUCCAGUUCAAAACCUAAGGUAACUCCCUGAGUCUGAGAUGCCACUGACCUACUGAAGGAUUUACGGAUGAACUGAUACAAUGCCAGAAAUUUACUUCGAGAUAAAGCAGGAGGAGUGGAUGGGAGUUCAGAAGAAAUAACACUGGCUCCCUGGGUUGAUAACUGAAGCCAGGUGAUAGACAUAUGGAGGUUCAUUAUACUAUUCCCUCUAUUGUAUUGAAUGUGGGAAGUUUUUCAUAAUAAAAUAUGAAUAAAAGGGUCAUAGAACACACA